UGGUUAAAAAGCUCGUAGUUGGAUCUCGGCGGACUGAGGGCGGUUUGCUUGCUAGUAUUACUGCCCUAUAGUCCGUAGUUUUGCCAGAGGUUUCGGGGUGCUCUUAAUCGAGUGUCCCGGGAUGCUGGCAGGUUUACUUUGAAAAAAUUAGAGUGCUCAAAGCAGGCUAUUACGCCUGAAUAUUCGUGCAUGGAAUAAUAGAAUAGGAAGUCGUUUCUAUUUUGUUGGUUUUCGGAAAUCGACUUAAUGAUUAAUAGGGACAGUCGGGGGCAUUUGUAUUCAAACGACACAGGUGAAAUUCUUGGACCGUUUGAAGACAAACUACUGCGAAAGCAUUUGCCAAGAAUGUUUUCAUUAAUCAAGAACGAAAGUUAAAGGUUCGAAGGCGAUUAGAUACCGCCCUAGUUUUAACCAUAAACGAUGCCAGCUAGCGAUCUGCGGACGUUUUUUUUGUAGACUCCGCAGGAAGCUUCCGGGAAACCAAAGCAUUUGGGUUCCAGGGGAAGUAUGGUUGCAAAGCUGAAAACUUAAAGGAAUUGACGGAAGGGCACCACCAGGAGUGGAGCCUGUGGCUUAAUUUGACUCAACACGGGAAAUCUCACCAGGCCCGGACACUGGAAGGAUUGACAGAUUGAUAGCUCUUUCU
rnacentral:rRNA from 1 species